rnacentral:tRNA from 1 species
GGGCCUCUAGCUCAAUGGUAGAGCUGCGGACUUUUAAUCCGUAGGUUGUGGGUUCGAGUCCCACGGGGCCCACCA